AUGAAGUUCGCUUCCCCGCUCACUCACGAGGAGGAGCGGGUCGACGCAUGGUAUGGAGGCGAACCGCUGCGGUACCGUACGAUGGAUAAUGUGCUCGGCGACCAGCCGGUGCCAGGACUGGUGCCACGUGACCUGGAGGCGCAGCUACAGCUCGUGUGUGAAGACGGCGAACCACGGUCCUUCGCAGAGGCCGAGAGAGACGCGGCAUGGCGCGCCGCGAUGAAGUUGGAGAUGGAUGCGGUCGAGCAAAACCGCACCUGGGAGCUUGCUGAUCUCCCUCGAGGUCACCGCGCAAUCACCCUUAAGUGGGUGUUCAAGCUGAAGAGGGAUGGAGCCGGCGCCAUCAUCAAGCACAAGGCUCCUUUGGUGGCCCGAGGCUUCUUGCAGCAGGAAGGAGUCGACUUCGACGACGCUUUCGCUCCCGUGGCACGGAUGGAGUCCGUGCGACUUCUCCUUGCGCUGGCUGCCCAGGAGGGCUGGCGUGUCCACCACAUGGACGUUAAGUCGGCAUUCCUCAACGGCGACUUGAAGGAGGAAGUCUACGUGCAUCAGCCACCGGGGUUUACGAUUCCCGGCCAGGAGGGCAAGGUGCUCCGCCUGCGCAAGGCUCUCUAUGGCCUGCGGCAGGCACCCAGGGCGUGGAACGCCAAGCUGGACUCCAUGCUGAAGAAGAUGGGUUUCGAGCAGAGCCCGCAUGAGGCUGCCGUCUACCGACGAGGGAGUGGAGGAAAUGCCCUGCUGGUGGGCGUCUACGUUGACGACCUGGUGAUCACCGGCACCAAAGAUGCAGAGGUGGCGGCGUUCAAGGAAGACAUGAAGGGCACGUUCCACAUGAGUGACCUGGGGCUCCUCUCCUUCUAUCUAGGGAUUGAGCUCACUCCGAUGGAGGAGAGGCUGAAACUAAGUCGCGACAGCACGACGGAGGAAGUGGAUGCUACGCAGUACCGACGCCUUGUGGGGAGCCUUCGCUACCUCACUCACACACGGCCGGACUUGGCAUUCUCCGUCGGCUAUGUCAGUCGGUUCAUGGAGCGACCAACGUCGGAACACCAGCAGGCAGUGAAGAGGAUCGUCCGCUACAUAGCAGGGACCCUCGACCACGGCCUCCAUUACCCUAGGUGCCCUGGGGCGGCACACUUCGUCGGGUACAGCGACAGCGACCACGCCGGCGACAUCGACACCAGCAAGAGCACGAGCGGGAUCCUCCUCUUCCUCGGCAAGUGUCUCGUGAGCUGGCAAUCAGUCAAGCAGCAGGUGGUGGCCCUGUCCAGCUGUGAGGCUGAAGACACCAGAACGGUGCAGCUCCUGAUGGACAGCAAGUCCGCCCUGGCACUGGCAAAGAACCCCGUGUUCCACGAACGGAGCAAGCACAUCCGACUGAGGUAUCACUUCAUCCGCAUCUGUGUGGAAGAAGGGAGCAUCGAGGCGAGCUACAUCAACACCAAGGAUCAGCUCGCAGACCUGCUCACCAAGCCCCUUGGGAGGGUCAAGUUCCUCGAACUUUGCUCCAGGAUUGGGAUGAUUCAACUCUCCCACAAGACGACGUACAAGACUUAG
rnacentral:rRNA from 1 species